rnacentral:rRNA from 1 species
UACGAAGGGGGCUAGCGUUGCUCGGAAUCACUGGGCGUAAAGGGUGCGUAGGCGGGUCUUUAAGUCAGGGGUGAAAUCCUGGAGCUCAACUCCAGAACUGCCUUUGAUACUGAGGAUCUUGAGUUCGGGAGAGGUGAGUGGAACUGCGAGUGUAGAGGUGAAAUUCGUAGAUAUUCGCAAGAACACCAGUGGCGAAGGCGGCUCACUGGCCCGAUACGUGACGC